UGCACAGUCCAGCUCUCCUUGCCUCCGGACUCUAGUAUUCCUAAUGGUGUCUUUCAAGUCAUUUUUUCUGUUUGAACAGUGUGUGUGUUUGGAUUUUGCCACUGAGUCUCUAAUGGAUCCAAAAGCUAAAUAUAUAAAGGAGAAGUUAUUGGCUUAUCAGGCCCAGAUGUGUUGCAAAGUAGGCUUUUAGAAUCAUUACUCUGAUCAGUAAUAGGAUUAACAAAGCAGCCUCUGUACACACAUGCGAUGGGAGGUCAAAUUCGGACUUGCCUGAAUGGAUAAACCAUAAAAAACAAUGAAAACAAUGUGUGCUCUGUUUCCCAGCAGCCUUUAAGAAAACCUGAUUAUGAGAAAGGAAGUAAAGAUAUGAUGAUGAGGUUACUUCUGUACUGUCUUUUCGUGCCACCUAUCCAACCACUUCAUUCCACAAAAUGGAUAGUUGGAGUCAUAUUUGUGGAGGUGCCUGCAACUGCCACUAUGCGAUGUUGCAGGAAGAGUCACACUGACAUCUUUGGUUACCCUUCAAGGUACUAUUUGAGAAAUUGGACAGCAAGCCAGAGACAGUAAUGGAUGGGAAUUGCCUGUACAUGACCACCAGAGAUCAUAUUAGAAUUAGAAAUUAAAUAACAAAGUGGGAGAAAGCUGGGGCAUUUUAUAAGCGUUUUGUUCAAUUUGUCAGGCUUAUUGACUUGAUUAGUUAGAAAAAUGAAUCAUCCAUUUGGGUCAACUAUGAUGAUGGAUUUCUUUGAAUUGCUUUUAUUAUCUCUCUUCUGUGCUCUGCUUUCUAGAACAUAGCUAUGUCAGUUAGAGCACACAUUUAUGUCUUUGAGGUAUCCAUGUUUUGUUUAGCUAGUCUUUAGUCUUGUUUUCAUUACAGAAUCACAAGGUGAUAAGACCUUUUUGCCUUUUUCAAUAUAUGCAUUUUUAAUAUAAUUUAAGCUUUGCAAUACAUGACCAUGAAUUAAGGAUCUUUCUCCAUGUCAAACCUCAGUCUUCAGAGCCUCCCUACUGAGAGGAAAGUACUGUUUUCCUUGUCUGAGGAAUAUAGACCAUUUUGCUCAGUACUCAGUUUCUUUUACUGGCUUUCUGAAAGUGGAUUUUGCUAAAGAAAAUUUGUAUCAACUCAAAUAGCUUGAGAAGAUGAGAACAGACUCUGUCAGGCGUGCAGCACAUGAAAGGGUUUCCAUUUCUCAGAUAAACAGAGAAAGCCAAACUAAAUUGAUGGGUGUGAAAGCCUCACUUUCAAUUUUUUGUGAAAGGCCUUUAAAUCAUAUGAUGGUGAGUGUGAAAUUGUAUUCAAUAUUAGCUCUCUUUUGAAGGAGAUCACGGCUUACAGAGCAACAUAAAAUGCACUGGCUGAAUCAUAAUGAUUUUUUCAUUCUGACGCUGUUCCCAUAUGGUGAUAGAUGAUGGAUAAUGGACUUACAUAACAAACAUCACACAGUGCCUGUUCUGUUGCUUGCAAUAAACGAGUCCCCAGCAUGCUCUAGGGCA
rnacentral:lncRNA from 1 species